UUCAGAUCUUGAUGACUGUACGUUUAAAACUUGUAAAGAAUCUGAAGAAUGUAAAUCUGGGAAAUGUGAAAAAAUAAAGAACUGCAAAAAUGAUUCGUGUAAAGACAAAGACAAUAGCAAAUGUGAAGAAAACUAUGAAGACCCAGUAAAUGUUAAAUGCAUUUGUAAUAAAGGAUUUGUCGAAUCUGGUGCAAAGUGUUUUAAUGAAAGUAAGUAUAGAGAAGAAAGUGCUUAACAUAGCAAAAGUUUUCUUGAUCAACCAAAU